ACAAUGUUGGGAUUGGAAUAAAUCUAUUCCAUUAAAUCUGUAGAUCACUCUGGAGAGUACUGGCAUCUGAACAACAUAAAGUCUUCUAAUCCAUGAACAAAGGAUGUGUUUCUAUUUAUUGGGGUCUUCUUUAAGUUUUUUCAACAACUUUUUGUAGCUUUUAGUGUACAAGUCUCUUGCUUUUUUGGGUUUUUGCUAUAUAUAUAUUUUUUAUGUCAUUGUAAAUGGAAUUGUUUCUGUAAUUUCUUUCUUUCUUUUUUUUUUUUUUUGCGGUACACGGGCCUCUCACUGCUGUGGCCUCUCCCGUUGCGGAGCACAGGCUCCGGACGCGCAGGCUCAGCGGCCAUGGCUCACGGGCCCAGCCGCUCUGCAGCAUGUGGGAUCCUCCCGGACCAAGGCACGAACCCGUGUCCCCUGCAUCGGCAGGCAGACUUCUCAACCACUGCGCCACCAGGGAAGCCCUACAAUUUAGUACCAGAAUGGAAAAGCACUAAAUUGAGUGAGAUUAGAGAUUUACCAUUCUUCAGUGAUGAGAUAAAGAGAUUGAUACUCCAUGAGGUUAAAACCUGUGAUUUCUCUACCUUAUAAUGCUGAGUAACUGGGGACAAAACAGCUAUAUGACAGAGAAAAAGGAGAAGAAAAAGUGAUAAAUGAGAUCUGAAGAAAUUUACAAAUGAAGCUCUAGCAUUUUGAUUGUACUAAGUAUUAAAAUACCUAUAUUGAAGGUUAACCCUAUCUAAACUUUGUAAAAUUUGUAUAUCUUUAAAAAAAUUCAUCAUUGCUAUUUCAUAGUCACACCUAUUUAAGAAUCAACUUGUUAGGAAUUAUACAUUUUUAUUGUAUCUAUAAGGUAAAUAUAACUUAAAUUAUCAUGAAGUAAAGUAAAACACCCUGAUUAAUGUUUUCCCUCUUACACAGUGUAUCAUUUGUUUAAAAUUCAGGUCAAUAUGCUUUAUUCAGAAUACAGUGAAUCUAAUUUUAAAGUAGCAUUAUUUGCCUAACUUCCAUGGACAAUUUCCAAUAUUGUUCCUGCCCACUAUAGAUCCAGGACCAUCAAAGAUGCAAUCCUGGGAGUAUCUUCUGAUUUUCUGAUUUAAAAAAAAAACAAAACAAAAAAGCUGUUUCCAUAUCAUCUCUGCCUCUCUCAUCCUUGUCUUAUAAAGCAGUAGUUGCUGGGAUUAUAUUCCUGCAUUUUAAGGAAAAUGAGGUACUGAACUGUCUGUUUGCUUCCUCUGACAAAUUAGUUUACUGUCUUCAGACUUUCUGAGUGGGCCCUCAAUAAAUACUGACCUGAAGUAAACUAAACUUCAACACAUGGAAUAAUGUGUUUUCAGCAAAUGAAAAAAAAAAAAAUCCUGUAAAUUUCAAGAGGGCACUGCAUAUAAUGAAGUACCUUAUGUGGACUUAAAGCAAUAAGUGUAGCUAUGGCAAAGACCUUCAUCUAGGUAUGAAGAAAGCAGUGAAAUGUGAUACUAAAUUUUUAAGUUCAAAUCUAGGAGGGUUUCAGGUCCAGGACACCAAGUCAUUCAGAAACAACCUGGACAUCAGCACACACAAAAUAACCCACAUGCCAUCCAGAAAUCCGAGUCACAAAUUUUUAAUAUUUUAUGAUCUAUAGAUGUUAUGAGAAUGUUUUAACUAAUUAGGUAGAAUUUUCAGAAUAUCACAUUUUGGAAGAUUUACAGAAUACAAUAUGCACACCAUAGACACUAGGAAAAACUUGCAUUAAAUACUCUUUUCGCUGUUAGAAAUUUAGUAUAAAUGCCAAAUGAUAUUUACCUAUGCCCCUGAGUUUAUUGAUUAUUAUCCUGGUUAUCUGCAAGCUAAUUUUCACUGUAACAGAGAUGGCCUCUUAUCCCCCAAUUCUCCAAAUAACCAGAAAUCUGGUCUUUGUAAGACAGAAAAAUAAAACACAUGACAGACAUUAGGGAGGACUGUGAGAUUCAUUGAUUCAGUAUUUAAAAAAUGGUUAUUUACAGGUGUGGGCAAGUGUGGCCUAGAACCCAUGUUCUUGUGAUUUGGUAGGUGACAGAGUCUUGCAUUCAUCUAAAUUGCAGAGGUUAGCCUCUAUUUACUUUAGUCUCUGCCUGAUAGAAGUGUCCACUGCUUAGGAGAAUCUAAGUGUACAGGACCAAUAUUUACUUCUGAUGUGCUGAGAGGUGGGGAAUUACAAAACUUGUCCCAGAUGAAAGCAAUUUUCCAGACAUUUAAACUCACUGUUAAAUUCUUUAUAUAUGACUAUCUUCAACUACUUGAAUAUUUCAUCCUGUCAAUAAGGUUAAACACUUUGUUUUUUUUUUUUUUGGCUGUUCAAGUUUUAAGUUUACUUGGUCAAUAAAAUGACAUUCAGAUCCAAUACAAGAAUUAUAUUAUUUCAUGUAACAUCAUAAUCAGAAUUUAAAUUUUAUAUUAAAGUAAACUAGGUUAGAAAAAUAUUUAUUGUCAGAAUAACUGAAGUAUCCCAAUAACUGUUAAACAUUUUUCUAAGGAUACAUUUUUAACAAGUGAAAGUUUGGUAUUCUGUAAAGUUUAACAAACUGGUUAUUGACCAUAUGCAAAAUACAGUAUGAUUUGUUUCAGAGAACUAUUUCUUCAGUUUACUUAGUUACCUAAAUAUCUAUAAAUGUUUUUGGAGAUGUGAGAUUAACUAGAUAUCUACAGACUAAAAUAAAAAUGUGUGCAAUAAGGAAGAAGUUAGCAUGCCUUGUCUCUUAGCAAUUUCUCUUGAAUACCUACCUACAAGUGAUGAUCAUUAUCAUUCAUCAGUUUCUCAGUAUGUACACCAAUUUCAGAGUCUCAAUUUUGCCAGAUAAAUUUAUAAAACUUACAAAAGGGAAGAGGAGUUUCCUGCAUUGAAUAGAAAAUUAGAAUUAGAAUUCUAUUUAGCUUGCAUAUCCAGGGAAAUCCACAUUAAUUUGGAGAGAGAUUCAUUUGUGAUAUAUGUUGUCAUGGGUUUUAAAAGAUACGUUUGAGGAUGGAGUAAAGAUUAAAAUAGACCUCAUAUUUUACACUAAAUGAAAGACAUGUUUCCUAGUUAUAGGCUACUAUUAAUUUCCUUGCUUCUGAUAUACCCAGAAGGAAACUACAAUCUAAAGUAAUGUUUUAAAAACUUCUAUAUCCAAUAUUAAUGCAGUGAAGUAAGCUGGACACUCAAUGUAAGGAAAGCUCAUACCUACAAAUAUUGCUGAAACUCCAGUUAGUCAAGGAAUCAAAGAAAUUAAAGCAUUUAUACAGAUUUUAUUGAAAAUAAAUCACUAUCAUAUACUCAAAUGUAUGCAUGAUUUGUUCAUGGAGAUUAUUUUUGAUCCUCUGUAGAUUUCUUUUUGUAGAGUAUCUCCUGCCCUCUUUAGUCCAGAUUUUAUAACUACAUUGAGGAAAGAGAUCUAAUUCUACAGCAUAAUUCUGACUUCAGCUUCUUCUAUUACUUGGUGAAAAUAGGUCAUUAUUAGCCAUUUCUGGCAGGAACAGUUGACAGGAAACAGGACAGGAAAUGAUAUAAUGAUUCCAGAAUUGUAUAUUUCCCCUAUGCCCUGCUGUUUGGGGAAUGACCUUACAGUUAACCAGGAAAUUGGGCGGUGGUACUGAACCUCACUCAUACUAUUGAACUUUUUUGUCCCUCGCUCCUCUUUACUUAAAAAAAUAGAUUAAAAUUCUAGGACCAAUAGACAUAAAGAAAACAAAGAAAAUAUUUAUCUGUUAAAUUAUAUCUAUUUCUAGAUUUUUGAGCAGACUAUUCAAAGUAGACAUUAAUAUCCAGUUAGCUAAUAACAAAUAUAGCAUAUAAACCACUUAAAUAUUAAAACAACAAACUUCUAAAUGCUUUUAUAUUUAUGGAGCUUAUUUUCUCAUGAAAAUGCAACUUUGAUGCCAUUUAUUAUUAAAUACAUAGUUUUUUAUUUACAGUUAAAUCAUUACAUUUUAAAACUGCUUUUUAAGAUGUGUGCUUUUAUAUGCCACACAAUGAUAAAUUACAUUAAUAUGUGUGUCCGUUGUUAUUUUUUUCUCUAAGAUAGACGAUAUCUCCUACAUGAAAUAUGCCCAAUAAAAAUUACAUACCUAAAACUCACACAAACACAUAGGCACAAGGAUAUCUAUUUAAAAUGUAAACUCCUCCAUUUAAAAUUGUAUGCAAAUGCAGUCAAAUAAAUUCCAUUUAUAAUUUUUGUGUGGUAUAAAUUUACUUUAUAUCUUUAAAAACAGAUAUCCAAUUCAGGACCUCACCUAAGAUAAUUAAUUGCUCCACAAACAAAAGUGCAGACUCUAACACAGGAGGUCUGAUGUUCACAGUGUGAUCUAAACAUUUUUUGUUACUCCAGCGUGGUAUUAAGCCCUUUAAAUAUUUUAAAACACUUAACUAUUUUAUUUACAUUCUUUUAGUCAUUAACUUCAACCUGUUUUAAAUUUAUGUCACUGGAGAAUUGAGAAUAACAAAGCUGUACAAAUUUAACAAUUAGCCUUACUAUGUAAUUGCUCAGAAUAAACAUCCUGAUUAGUCAAAUCACUAUUAAAUUUUAAUCAAUGUGAGUGGGUGUUUCUAUUUUUGAUUGGGGAUUUCACAUGGAUUUUCUAAGCAACUCCUUUUGUAUGUGAAGUUGAGAUGUUUUCUCUCUUCGUAUUAUGCCUAAUGGAUUGUGUCUCAAUCUUACAUAAUGCACUGUUAGUGAGUAGUCAAAGACAUUUUUCUUUCAUAUAAGCUUUCUCUUUAUAAUGCUAAUGACACAUUUUUCUU